rnacentral:rRNA from 1 species
UAGUCCACGCCCUAAACGAUGUCUACUAGUUGUUGGGUCUUAAUUGACUUAGUAACGCAGCUAACGCGUGAAGUAGACCGCCUGGGGAGUACGGUCGCAAGAUUAAAACUCAAAGGAAUUGACGGGGACCCGCACAAGCGGUGGAUGAUGUGGAUUAAUUCGAUGCAACGCGAAAAACCUUACCUACCCUUGACAUGUCAGGAACCUCCGAGAGAUCGGAGGGUGCCCGAAAGGGAACCUGAACAC